rnacentral:tRNA from 1 species
GUCCUGUGGCUCAGUGGUACAACAUCUGUCUGGCAUGCAGAAGGUUCUAGGCUCAAUCCAUGGCAUCUCCA